rnacentral:rRNA from 1 species
UACGUAGGGACCAAGCGUUGUUCGGAUUUACUGGGCGUAAAGGGCGCGUAGGCGGCGUGUUAAGUCAGCUGUGAAAUCUCCAAGCUUAACUUGGAACGGCCAAGUGAUACUGCAGUGCUAGAGUGUGGAAGGGGCAAUCGGAAUUCUUGGUGUAGCGGUGAAAUGCGUAGAUAUCAAGAGGAACACCUGAGGUGAAGACGGGUUGCUGGGCCAACACUGACGCUGAGGCGCGAAAGCCAGGGGAGCAAACGGG